UGGCCUGUAGCUCAACGGUUAGAGUACCACUCUUAUAAGGUGAAGGUUCCGGGUGCUGAUGAAUUGCUUGAUGAAGCAAUUAUCAGCAUGCUGACUGAUCGUCAGGUAUUCAAUUCCCGGCAGGCCAA
rnacentral:tRNA from 1 species